rnacentral:tRNA from 1 species
UUCCUGGUGGCCCAGUGGUUCAGGAUACAGCACUGUUACUGCUGUGGCUCAGGUCACAGCUGUGGCAUGGGUUCAAACCCUACCCAGGAAA